AAUCAACGCUGGCGGCGUGCCUCAGACAUGCAAGUCGAACGCGAAAUUUCCCUUCGGGGAGAAAGUAGAGUGGCGCACGGGUGAGUAACACGUAGGUAAUUUGCCUUUGGGUGGGGAAUAACUCAGGGAAACUUGAGCUAAUACCGCAUAAUGCAGCGGCUCGACAUCGAGACAGUUGUUAAAAGCGGGGGAGUCGCAAGACCUCGCGCCUGAAG
rnacentral:rRNA from 1 species